rnacentral:rRNA from 1 species
AUGGGAAAAUCCACCUUGGCACAACAUGUUUACAAUGACAAGAGGGUACAAGAACAUUUUAAUGUCAGGAUGUGGGUUUGCAUCUCACGCAAACUUGAUGUCCAUCGUCACACACGGGAGAUUAUCGAAUCCGCAGCUAAGGGGGAGUGCCCACGUGUUGAUAAUCUGGAUACUCUGCAGUGCCAAUUAAGGGACAUACUGCAAAAAUCAGAGAAAUUCUUGCUUGUGUUGGAUGAUGUUUGGUUUGAUGAUUCGAGUAGUCAGAUGGAAUGGGACCAACUGUUAGCUCCUCUAGUUUCUCAGCACAAUGGAAGCAAAGUUUUGGUAACUUCUCGACGGGAUACAUUUCCUUCUGCUCUUAACUGUGAAAAGGUGCUCCGUUUGGAAAGCAUGGAAGAUACUCAGUUCUUGGCACUCUUCAAAUACUAUGCCUUCACCGGAGCACAAAUCAGAGAUCCUCCCUUGCUUGAAAGGCUAGAAGAGAUUGCAGAGGAGAUAGUUAAAAGGCUUGGACAGUCUCCUUUGGCUGCAAAAGUUGUUGGUUCCCAGUUGAAAGGGAAAAUGAAUGUUCCUGCCUGGAAAGAUGCUCUAACUUUAAAAAUUGAGAAUUUAGGUGAGCCCAGAACAGCUCUGUUGUGGAGUUAUCAGAAGUUAGAUCCACGUCUGCAGAGGUGCUUUGUAUAUUGCAGCUUGUUUCCGCAAGGACACAAGUAUAAAAUUGAUGAGUUGGUUCACUGGCUGAUAGCGGAGGGGCUUGUUGAUCCAUGCAACCAGAACAGGAGAAUGGUAGAUGUUGGAAAGGAUUACCUCAAUGAGAUGGUUUCUGGGUCUUUCCUGCAACCAUUUUCUGAUAGAUUUGUGAAGACAUACUACAUUAUGCAUGAUCUUGUUCAUGAUUUGGCAGAGUUGCUCUCUAAAGAAGAUUGCUUCAGAUUAGAAGAUGAUAAGGUGGCAGAAAUACCAUGCACCGUUCGUCAUCUAUCUGUUCGUGUUAAGAGUAUGAAACAACAUCAGCGCAGUAUCUGCAAGCUACAUCAUUUGCGCACUGUUAUCUGCAUUGACCCACUUACAGAUGAUGUGAGUGAUGUUUUCGAUCAGGUACUGCAAAACUUGAAGAAGUUACGUGUACUCUAUUUGUGCUUCUACAAUAGUAACAAGCUACCUGAAUCUGUUGGUGAGCUGAAGCACCUUCGGUAUUUAAACCUCAUUAGAACUUCCAUUGCCGAAUUGCCUGGAUCAUUAUGUGCUCUUUACCACCUACAGUUACUUCUGUUAAACCAUAAAGUUAAGAGUUUGCCUCACAAACUAUGCAAAUUAAGCAAGUUACGGCAUCUUGAAGGGUAUCAAGAUCUGGGAUACAGGAUGUAUGAAGUAGCUCUGCCUCAAAUCCCUUAUAUAGGCAAGCUAACUUUGCUCCAGCAUUUUAAAGAAUUUUGUGUGCAAAAACAGAAGGGAUGUGAGUUGCGGCAGCUCAGAGACAUGAAAGAGCUUGGUGGCAGUUUAAGAGUCAGAAAUCUCGAGAAUGUCACUGGAAAGGGUGAAGCCUUAGAGUCGAAGCUAUAUCAGAAAAGUCAUAUUGGAAGCUUGAAUCUUGUCUGGGGUUGCAAUAAUAGCAUGAAUGCAGAUGAUAGUUUACAGUUGGAGAUUCUAGAAGGCUUGAUGCCACCGCCUCAACUGAAAGGCCUGAAAAUCAAGGGUUACAAAUCUGACAUGUAUCCAAGUUGGCUACUUGAGGGUUUGCAUUUUGAGAAUUUGGAAUCUUUUAAGCUCGUCAAUUGCAGUGCGUUAGAAGGCCUGCUACUCAAUACCGAGCUCUUCAGGCAUUGCUCUGAACUGAAGCUCAAGAAUAUCUGGACUCUGAAAACAUUAUCUUAUCUUCCAGCAGCCCUCACGCACUUAACAAUUAGCAGUUGCCCACUGCUUAUGUUUAUUGCCAGUGAUGAGCUAGAACAGCAUGAUCAGAGGAAGAACAUCAUGAGAACAGACUACUUGGCAUCACAACUUGCUUCAUUGUGGGAGGUGGAUUCCAGAUCGCAUAUUAAUAUCAAGAGAGCAUUAUCGUCAGAACAUUCAUCUCUGAAGCAAAUGAUGACAUUAAUGGAUGCUGACAUGUCACAUCUUCAAAUCAUUGCAAAUGCUGUAGAAAGAGAGAACGGUGAGGUAAUGCUGAAAGAUGAUACCAUCAACGCAUGGAUAUGUUGCCACGAGCAGAGGCUGAGAUUCAUUUAUGGAAGAAGCAUCAGCUUGCCCUUGGUUCCACCAUCUGGUCUUCGUCAACUUCAUCUUUCUUCAUGCAGUAUUACAGAUGGGGCAUUAGCUGUUUGCCUUGACGGUCUCACGUCACUGAGACGUUUGUCCUUGAUGGAGAUCAUGACUUUAACUACAUUUCCAUCACAAGUGGUUCUCCAACAUUUGACAAAGCCCAACGACCUUUACAUUUCAUCCUGCUGGUGUCUCAGAUCAUUAGGGGGGUUACGAGCUGCUACCUCUCUUUCAGAUAUUCAAUUGUUUGACUGCCCUUCUUUAGACUUGGCACAUGGAGCAAAUUUUUUGCCAUUAUCUCUUGGGAAGCUCCGUAUACAGCGGUGCAUGGUUACAACUAAUUUCUUCAGUUGUGACUUGCCAUUCCUGAUGAAUCUUUCCAUGUUUGGGUGCAGAAGCUCUGCAUCCUUGUCGAUUGGUCACCUGACCUCCCUUGAAUCACUAUCACUAGGAGGUAUCCCUGAUCUGUGCUUUCUUGAAGCACUGUCUUCCCUGCAACUUCGCUAUGUACAUUUGACAGACGUCCCGAAGCUCGACGGGAAGUGCAUUUCACAGUUCCGGGUACAAAAAUCACUAUAUGUUAGCAGCCUUAUGAUGCUCAACCACAUGCUCUCGGCUGAAGGUUUUACAGUUCCACCAUUUCUGUCUCUUGAAGGAUGCAAGGAGGCAUCUGUUUCAUUCGAAGAAUCAACAGAUUUCACAUCUGUCAAGUGCCUCAGGUUAUGUGAUUGCGAAAUGAGUUCCCUGCCAAGAAAUCUGAAGUGCUUCUCCAACCUGACGAAACUCGAAAUCCACAUGUGUCCCAAUAUAUCACCUUUACCAGAUCUGCCAUCCUCCCUCCAGCACAUAGUCGUGUGGAAUUCUGAACUCCUGCAGAAGAGCUGCAGAGCACCUGACGGGGAAGCUGGCCAAAGAUUGAGCAUAUCCGCUGGAAGGAAUUCACAGAAUUUCCACACUUGCAACUAUAAAGAGAAAAGUUACUUUUGGAAAGGUAAUUGGAGGACCCUUUGUCAAGACUGA